rnacentral:rRNA from 1 species
AAGGAGCUGUGGACUGCAUGGAAGAGAGAAUGCCGGAAUGAGUAGCGAGAUAGAGGUGGGAAUCCUCUAGGCCGAAUAUCCAAGGUUUCCAGAGUAAAGCUGAUCUGCUCUGGGUAAGUCGGGGCCUAAGGCGAGGACGAGAGUCGUAGCCGAUGGACAACAGGUGGAGAUUCCUGUACUGCGGUAUGACAGAACUGUGGGGACACGUAAGGAAAGCGGAAGCCGGGAAUGGAAAGCCCGGUGCAAGCGGGGUACCAGUCACUUUGGCAAAUCCGGGUGGCAAUGGGAAGCCGUGAUGCGGAGCGAAAUAAAGUAGCGAAGUCCGUGAGCCAUGCGUCAAGAAAAGCCGCUAUUGUUUAUACCGUACCCGUACCGUAAACCGACACAGGUGGAUGAGGAGAGAAUCCUAAGGCCGGCGGAAGAAGCAUUGUCAAGGAACUCGGCAAAAUGGCCCCGUAACUUAGGGAUAAGGGGUGCCUCAGAAAUGAGGCCGCAGAGAA